rnacentral:rRNA from 1 species
AAGACCUUGCGCUUUUGGAGCGGCCGAUGUCUGAUUAGCUUGUUGGUGAGGUAAAGGCUUACCAAGGCUUCGAUCAGUAGCUGGUCUGAGAGGACGGCCAGCCACACUGGGACUGAGACACGGCCCAGACUCCUACGGGAGGCAGCAGUGGGGAAUUUUGGACAAUGGGGGCAACCCUGAUCCAGCCAUGCCGCGUGAGUGAAGAAAGCCUUCGGGUUGUAAAGCUCUUUCAGCCGGAACGAAACGGUUACGGUUAAUACCCGUGACUACUGACGGUACCGGAAGAAGAAGCACCGGCUAACUACGUGCCAGCAGCCGCGGUAAUACGUAGGGUGCAAGCGUUAAUCGGAAUUACUGGGCGUAAAGCGUGCGCAGGUGGUUUUGUAAGUCAGAUGUGAAAUCCCCGGGCUUAACCUGGGAACU